rnacentral:tRNA from 1 species
AAAAGUAAAAAAAGGAUUUCUAAUCCAUAAAUUUCCAUAAAGGAUUACUUUUU